rnacentral:rRNA from 1 species
AGGAAGUAAAAGUCGUAACAAGGUUUCCGUAGGUGAACCUGCGGAAGGAUCAUUAUGGUACUACAGAGGCGCGAAGGUUGUCGCUGAUCUUUCUGAAAGGUCGUGCACGCCGGAGCGUUCUCACACACAAUCCACCUCACCACUUGUGCUUCACCACGCGGGGUCGCUCCCUCUUGGCUCGCUUCGAGAGGGGGAGGCUUGCGUCUUUUUCACACACACACACAUAAUAUACAGUCUGGUAGUUUAGAAUAUCAAUCAAUACAACUUUCAACAAUGGAUCUCUUGGCUCUCGCAUCGAUGAAGAACGCAGCGAAAUGCGAUACGUAAUGUGAAUUGCAGAAUUCAGUGAAUCAUCGAAUCUUUGAACGCACCUUGCACCCCUUGGUAUUCCGAGGGGUACACCCGUUUGAGUGUCGUGAAUUUCUCAAACCUUCUUGGUUUCUUGAUCAAGAAGGCUUUGGACUUUGGAGGUCUUUGCCGGCUUUGCGAAAAGUCGGCUCCUCUUAAAUGCAUUAGUGGGGUCCCCUUUGCCGAUCUCUAGGCGUUGAUAAUACGUUUCUACGUCUUGGGAUUUGCUCUGUUCCUUGGGAACCUGCUUCUAACCGUCUCACCGUCGGAGACAUCGUUCGAGCUUGCUCGACCCACGAACCUUGACCUCAAAUCGGGUGAGACUACCCGCUGAACUUAAGCAUAUCAAA